rnacentral:rRNA from 1 species
GGCAGAGGGUGCAAACGUUUGUUCGGAAUUACUGGGCGUAAAGCGCGUGUAGGCGGCUCGGCAAGUCGGGUGUGAAAGCCCUGGGCUUAACCUAGGAAGUGCACUCGAAACUGCCAAGCUUGAGUUCUGGAGAGGAAGGCGGAAUUCUCGGUGUAGAGGUGAAAUUCGUAGAUAUCGAGAGGAACACCGGUGGCGAAGGCGGCCUUCUGGACAGCAACUGACGCUGAGACGCGAAAGCGUGGGGAGCAAACAGG